GUGCCAGCCGCCGCAGUAACACCGGCAGCCCAAGUGAUGGCCGAUAUUAUUGGGCCUAAAGCGUCCGUAGCUGGCCGCACAAGUCCAUCGGGAAAUCCACCUGCUCAACAGGUGGGCGCCCGGUGGAAACUGUGCGGCUUGGGACCGGAAGGCGCGACGGGUACGUCCGGGGUAGGAGUGAAAUCCCGUAAUCCUGGACGGACCGCCGAUGGCGAAAGCACGUCGCGAGAACGGAUCCGACAGUGAGGGACGAAAGCCAGGGUCGCGAACCGGAUUAGAUACCCUUGUAGUCC
rnacentral:rRNA from 1 species